CAGUAGCCGCGGUAAUACGUAGGUCCCGAGCGUUGUCCGGAUUUAUUGGGCGUAAAGCGAGCGCAGGCGGUUAGAUAAGUCUGAAGUUAAAGGCUGUGGCUUAACCAUAGUACGCUUUGGAAACUGUUUAACUUGAGUGCAAGAGGGGAGAGUGGAAUUCCAUGUGUAGCGGUGAAAUGCGUAGAUAUAUGGAGGAACACCGGUGGCGAAAGCGGCUCCCUGGCUUGUAACUGACGCUGAGGCUCGAAAGCGUGGGGCGCAAACAGGAUUAGAUACCCCUGUAGUCCCUGUCUCUUAUACA
rnacentral:rRNA from 1 species